UUGUUAACUGUCAGAGUUAGCAGCUGAAACACAUAAAUAAAUGCUCAGAGAGACACCCAGUUUAGACCUCUGCUCUCUUUACCACACUCUCCUCCCACAUUAGCAGUAACCACUAUCUUACACAUUGUUUAUUUUACUUGUAUUAUAUAUUUAUUUUUUCCUAGAAUAUCAGCUUCAAGUGGGCAGAAUUAUUUGUUUUGUUUUAGUCAUUGCAGCACCUCCUAGAACAUCUGCUACACAGGGCAAGAUUAAUACAUAAUAAAUCACUGGGCUCAAAUUCACACAACUAUACACAGUGCUUUUCCAUGAACCUCAUCAUAGGCCCAUAUAAACUUGAUUUGCACAAAAUGAGUUUUUCUUAACUCGAUCUUAUGUGGCAGGGUGGUGUCUUCUGAACUCCAAACAAAUUCCUAAAGGUUAGCUUACUCAAAUGAAUUGAAAAUGUAAGUCCACACAAAAACCUGCACAAAAAAGUUUACAGCAAUAUUAAUUGUAGUUUUCACAAAACUUGGAAGCAACCAAGAUCAUGUAUUCACCAAGGUCAGAGGUACAAAAUUAUUAUACAAAAAUCAAUUCUACUUCUAUACACUUGCAAUGAAAUAUCUAAUAAUGCAGUUGAGGCAAAAACAAAUCCAUUUACAAUAGCAAUUAAAUAAUAAAUCAUAGAAAUAAAUUUUUAAAAAUGUGAAAGGAACUUAUAAUCUGAAAACUACAAACCUUAUCGAAAGAGGUUGAAGAUCUAAAUAAAUGAGAAACCAUUCCAUGUUUAUGAAUCAGUAGGUUUAAUACAUUAUGAUGACAAUAACUCCCCAAACAGUCUACAUCCAGUACAAUUAGAUUCAGUACAAUUAGAAUUCAAGGUGACUACCAUGUAAAAACUGAAGCAUUGAUGCUGAAAUUCAUAUAAAAUUAAAAGGGACUAAGAAUAUCUUUAAAAAUCUUUAAAAAGAUGCCAAAUAAAAGGACUCACAAAUUACAACUUCAAAAUUUGCCUCAAAGCAACCUUAAUCAAGAUGGUGUAGUAACGACACAAGGAAAGUCAUUUAGAUCAAUGAAAUACAACUGAGAGCCCAGAGAGAGUAAAAUCAGCAAAAUGUCAAGAAUGUACAGCUCCAAACACCUGCUCCUCCACAGAAACAGGGAAAACCAAGCAGAACUGUCAGAAACGAUGUUGUAAAACCUGUUGAAAACCAUCAAGUUGUACAGCAACCAUGUAACUACAAAAUCAAGAAAAACAAUGAAGAACAGGAGAAAAGCCUCGUGGACUUUUUACACGUCCUUGCCCAAAUCCUUCCCUUACUUGAUGGCAGUCUUAAAAACAACAUCCUGAGUUGCCAGUAUGGGCCUCUGCUCAGUGGUUCCAGAGGGAAAAGAGGAGGUCUUACUUGCAAAGUAUUGUGUUGUUACAUUAAAAUCUGUAUUAGGGCUAUCCAGAGGUCUGAAACAAGGCUCUCUUUUUUCUCUAAGUCAGAAAAAAAAAUCAGUUUAAAAAAUUGGCACGAGUUACUUGGGAGUAUUUUAAGGAAACUGAAAGCCAGCAGCCCCCUGGAGAACAGAUUACAGACGACACAUACAAUAGGUCACAUAAAGCCAAGAAUAAAAAGCUAACGUGAGAUUUUGUUUUGUUUUACAAAUUAGGCUAUUAAAAAGCACCCAGGUAUGCUGGCAAAUUGACAAAGCACUCUGUGCAUAACCACGAAAAACACAUUUUCUUAAAGACCCAAGAAGACCCUCAUUUUCAGCACUGGCUGACCUUCAGGCUCAGCUCAGCAGAAAGUGAAGACUGAAGCAAAGUUUUCAACAGUCUGCACAUGUGUUAAAGGAACGCCCCAGCCCAGAGCCAUCCACAAAAACUGGAAGAAUCCGUCAGUUUGUCUUUGUCUCAGUUUUGUCAUAUAGACCUUUGUGACACACAGAUCUAUAUACAAUGGAAACUACAAAUUUCUAAUGAAAGAGCCAUGAAAGAUCACAAAAGAUCUUAAUAAAUAGAAAGACAUUUAAUGUGCAUGAUCAUAAAAUCUCAAUAUUGUCAAGAUAUAAUUUCUCCCCAAUUUGAGUUAUAGGCAAGAGAGUCACAUCAUCUAGGUGAUUGGCCAAACAUAUGUCACAAUCCCUUCCAUUGACAGCUCCCAAAAAAGGAGUUACAUCACCUAGGUGCUCAGCUCUGAGAUGUGUCACAACAUUGCCCAAUACAGGCAGGCCACAGGCGGGAGAGUCACAUUUCCUGGGUGCUUGGCCCAGUGGUAUGUCACAUUUCCUUAUGUAGGAAGGGCACACGUAGCAAGAGAGAGUCACAUUACCUAGGUACUGUGCUAGAGCUAUCAGUCUCUGUGUCGUUCAAUGUGAGAGUUAUGAUCUCUUUAGACAUCCAUGUAACAGAGCCUCAACUCCUUCAUCCUCAGAUGUAAAGGCUAGUGAAGACCAAAUAAGCCUUGAAAGGCUGGAGCCCAUGCGAGGGUCUGCAGUCUUUGUUCCGGAUGGGGAACUACUGCUUCAGCUGGUUACCCAGGUGUCCCCGAUGGGGAAAGGAAGGAAAUGGUGAGAAUCUUCAGCACAACGGAUCACAUCACCCUGGCAGAGACCAGUCCGGCCUGCGCAUGGCACCAGCAGCCGCAGGCUAGAGGCAGUCAUGUCAGGCCUCCUCCAUACAGCAUCUCUCCUGCUUUUUUUUCAAACGGCCCUAAUCACUUAAUUUGGUCAUCUUCCCUGUCACAAUGGGGCACCUGGCGCUAUAGACACUUGGGAAACACACAGAUCUGGGGUCCUACAGUGUCCAGGUGAAGACGCCGGGAGUCAGAGAGGAAAGUCUUUUGAAGCCUCCAAAAGGAAUGCACAGGACCCCACUUGAAGAGGUGGAGUGCCCAGUGGCGGAUACAGGCCCCACACAUCGCAGCAGUAAACAGGGACUCCACGGUGUCCAGCUCUCCAGCCUGGGGUUUCUCAUCACCCAGUGAUUCCAAAAGAAACGAUCUACAAUGGCAUGACUAAGUUCCAGAAACAAAUAAACAAAAUACUGAGGGAAGCCCGUUGGUCACUUUGAUUCUUCAAAGGUGACAAUUGUCCCUCCCUGAAAUCUUGUGAGUGCAUGAACAGGCUAUUCUAAUGUAAAUGAAAUUCACACUAAAACUGAUUGAAAGAUGAUUCUGUUUCCAAGGUACUUUGUAUUCUCAAAUUGCACCUGCUUACCCUGGCCCCCUCAAAAUGGAAGAGUGAUGACUAUUUGUCUUCGUAGCACUGUGGGGACACAGAGCCUUAAAUGGAAGAGUGUCAAAAGCAACAUUCCAUAAAGGGCUGUCACUUCCAAUUUUCAAGCAAGGUUGGAAACCAACCAUGAUGUAUGAAACACUGUUGGCCAAAGUGCACAAUUAGUAAUACAAAAUGAAUAAUAUAAACUAUUGUAAAUAUGUGUGGACAUCGUGGCAAUUUGGACAUCAAAAAACACUGCCAAAUUCAGAAAGAGGAAGCUGUAAACUCAUGGCUGUUAGGAAGCUUAACUUCUGUGUACUAGAACCUAUCAAAAUUAAAUUUCUCCAUGUCAAUCCGUCCAAACAAACAUUGAGAUGUUUAUUUCUAUAUAAUUCCUAUUGAAUCCUACUGGGCAGGACCCUUCUGGCCCCAUCCUCACAGCACUGGUGCAGUGAAACUGCACUUGCUCCUGCUUCCCCCUAUAUUGUUAGGAGUGGAAAUAUUUAGUAACAGGGUGGAUUGGGAGGCUACUGAGGCCUCCUGCGUGGGUGGGUCAGGUCUCCUGCAGCCCAAACCUUUUUACAAUAAAUAAGUUAUAGGUAAAAUUAGAAAAAAAUUAAAAAAUGGAACUCAUUCUGUUUCUUUGCUCACCACAAAGAGAAACACAGCAUCUAGAGAUGUCUGUUGGAGCCAGGCUUGUCCUGGGAAAGUAAGAAGUGCUGAGCAGGAGCCCUGGGGAUGGAGGGCAGGUGAGAUGGGGCUCCCAGGAAGAUGCAGCCAAGCCUGGCUCACUCAGGCUGGCAGGGGCCCUCUGAAGUCCAGGAAAGUUGGUCCAGGACACUGAAACUCAAGUGACUCAUCUGGGCCAAAGAUCUGACCAGGUCGCACUGAAUCUCAUCAGCCCUGCCAACUGGAGGUCUGAUCAGCCUUGAAGAUCUUGCUCACUGGAGGCAGACAGCUGGUGGAUGGGUCAGGAGAGCUGCCUACUGCCAAUGUAGGAGUGCACUCAGUGUAGGCCCGCUGCCCCACUCAGUGGCCUGGAUAACCUGCUGAGGCUGCAGCUUCUUCCAGUUUUUGAGCAAUAGGGGCAUGCACCAUUUCCGAAGGUUUUCAGGCAAUCCCUGGUGACCUCUGGCAGGGGGUGGUUAUCUUGGCAAUCUCCAGCAGGGCCUAUGGACUUGCUCCCAGGCAAAACCCAGCAAUCCCUGUGCCUACCCAGGCACUAAGCAUUUGUGGUGGGGCUUUCUGGAAGCUCGCCUUCUCCUGCUGGCUCUUCGUUUUCCCCACCCCGGUACUUCUGGCCAUUCUCCCUGUCAUCAUCACAAUGAGACAGCUGGGUGCUGGAGACUCAGAAACUGCCAUGCAGACCUUGAGUCCUUCCCAGGCCCAGCCAACAGGGCAGAGAAUCCAGGAGAAAAGUCAUUUUCACCUCCUGAAGGACCAGAGCUGACCAGGCACCUAGAAGCUGUGCCCCACUGCAGGCUGCCGGUGGAGCUCAUGACAAGGCCGGAACAAGGCCGGAACGUGAAGCACUCCCUUGUCUGUCCUUUUUUCCUGAAGGCUGGGGCUUGCCCGGCCAAUGUCACCCUUCAGGACAGGGAAUCAGAGCUUUGCAUGGCUGCCUUACCCCACCAGGGCAACGCCACAGAGAAUCAUGGCUGAGGCUUUCCUGUGGGCUGCAGUGCCUGACCCUUUAGGGUCCCCACAAAAACACCUUUCCUGCAAAUAAUCCACCGUGUCCUGCUUGCCAGCCUAGGCUUCCUCAUCAGUUGGUGAUUUCAAUGAAAACAAACUACAGUGGAAUGAACAAGUUCUAAAUCAGGAACACACAAAGAAUCUGUGGAAAGUCCAUUUGUCAUCUAGAUUUUUAAAAGAUACACAUUUUCCCUUCUUGUUAUAUUCAGUAGUGCAUGAAGCCAAUAUUAUAAUAGAUGUGCAACUCACACUAAAGCUGACUAAAGGGUGAAUUCUUAUUCUAAGGUACUUUGUGGUCUCAAAUUUAUCUGUUCCCACCCCCAGGACCCCAUUAAAACUGAAUAAUUGUCAUUGAGAGCAGAUGUAGAAAGAAACUAGCUAGGCAGAUAGAGCAAAGAGUUCUCAACAGAACGUCCCUUCUAACAGAAAGCAACCCAGGAAUUCACUUCUCUUUAACAAAGAGCAGCCUGGAAAAUUGGGCUGCAAUCAUACAAAAGGAAGCUGGAAGCUUGUGUGGGCAGGGAUGCCUGCAGCUGCAUGGGUAGAAAUGACCACCUUGGGCCAGACAUAUCCAACAUGGGGGGCCCCACCCCUCUUUGUAGCAUAUGCACAGUAGAAAAGAGAUAAGCAACUUGGAGUAGCUCAGGCUGAGAAUCUGCCUGCAUAAUAAAAGGUUGGGGUGUGAGCUGCCAGAGAUUCAUGCUCUAAGCAGAUGACACACCUGGUCCUAACCACUUUUUCAUGCCCUAUGUGGAUAACAUACCCCCUCCCACUAGCUCAUCUAUAAAAACACUUGUAUUUCACUGCAGAAUGGCAACUCUUUUUUUCUGGAUCCCUCUCUGCAGCAGAGAGCUGUUCUCUUUUUCUCACCCAUUAAACUUUUGCUCUAACCUCACCUUUGGCAUAUCUGUGUCCUUGGUUUCCUCGGUCCUGACACCAAGAAGUUCAGGUGUAACCCCAGAAGACACGGCCAGUUUAUCAUGACUUGUCUCAUUGCCUCUUGGGACAUAGAAACGUCAAUGAAAAUGUGUCCAAAAGGACAUUUCAUAAAGUGCUCUCUCUUCCAAUCUUCAAGCAAUGUGGGACUAUCCAUCAUGUACAAAAAACUUGUGGCUGAAAUGCACAAUUUCUAAUAC